UACGGAGGGUGCAAGCGUUAUCCGGAUUCACUGGGUUUAAAGAGAGCGUAGGUGGGCUGGUAAGUCAGUGGUGAAAUCUCCGGGCUUAACUCGGAAACUGCCGUUGAUACUAUCAGUCUUGAAUACCGUGGAGGUCAGCGGAAUAUGUCAUGUAGCGGUGAAAUGCUUAGAUAUGACAUAGAACACCAAUUUGCGAAGGCAGCUGACUACGCGAAUAUUGACACUGAUGCACGAAAGCGUGGGGAUCAAACAGGG
rnacentral:rRNA from 1 species